rnacentral:rRNA from 1 species
AUUGAACGCUGGCGGCAGGCCUAACACAUGCAAGUCGAACGAGUGGCGGACGGGUGAGUAAUGUCUGGGAAACUGCCCGAUGGAGGGGGAUAACUACUGGAAACGGUAGCUAAUACCGCAUACCAUCGGAUGUGCCCAGAUGGGAUUAGCUUGGAGGUGGGUUAACGGCUCACCUAGGCGACGAUCCCUAGCUGGUCUGAGAGGAUGACCGGCCACGAUGAAACUGAGACACGGGCACGACUCCGCCGGGAGGCAGCAGUGGGGACUAUGGCACAAUGGGCGCAAGCCGGAUGCAGCCCUGCCGCGUGUAUGAAGAAGGCCUUCGGGUUGUAAAGUACUUUCAGCGGGGAGGCGUUACCCGCAGAAGAAGCACCGGCUAACUCCGUGCCAGCAGCCGCGGUAAUAC